CCGUAAUUUAAUCAACCCCUAUUAUUUCUAAUUUUGCAUCAUUAUAAAUAAAACUGUUAGGAAUAUCCUUACAACUAAAUCUUUUUGCAUUCUAUGACUCUUUAGACAAUUCUAGAAACUCUUAGGAAAAUCCUAAAGAUGACUUUCUUAAAGCAUGAACAGUUAUAUAUAUAGUAUACAUUUAAUUUUUUUUCUGUUAGUUGGGUAUCCGAAGAUGGCAUCUUGUUUUAAUUUGUACUUUUUGAUUUUUAAAAAAAGUUGAAUAUUUUAAAAUGUGUUUAUUGGCCAUUCUCUUCUUUUUUUUAAUCCACAACCUUUGCCCAUUUUUCAUGUGAGGGAUUAUCUUUUUACUGCUUUUCCUCGUAAGCUCAGCUAUAGCAUUCAAUUUGUUACAUGUAAAUAUAUUAAAACUUCAUUUAAGUAUAAUGCUUAUUUUUGUUUUCAAUAUAUUAUUGUUUGUCAAUCUUUGUUUUGUUUACUGCCUUUGGUGAUAUGUUUUGGAAGUUUCCCCCACUCCGAGAUUUUAUAAAUAUUCACAUUUUCUUGUAAUAAUUUUGUGAUCUAAUUUUUUAAAAUAUUUAACUCUUUAACCCACAUGGGAUAUAUUUUCAUGUUGGUGCAAAGUAGGGAUAUAAUCUUAUGUUUUGUUUUCCUCAAAUGAUUGGCCAGCCAUCCAAAAGAGACGGCUAGUCUUCAUAUGAGAGGCAACUAUUUAUUAAUUUACUUUUACAAUUCAGUAAUACAAUGAAAUGAGUAUAUACCUCAUGUGUUUCAUUAGAAUAGAGUGCUUAAAUCUUUUUUUUUCCUUUAGGUGGCUUUUUUUUUAAUGGAAAUAGUGUUUCUCAUUCCUAAACAAUAUAGACUAGCAAUCUGGAGAUUACCCUUAACAUAUAUCAUUAUCUAAAGGUACGGUUUUCACCACCUUCUUAAUUAAAAUAUUUUUUGCUUCAUAGAUUUUCAAGCUUUAACUCUUCUAUCUAUCUCUGAAUCAUUUACUAUUCAUUUUUAAAGGUUAAAAAGGC
rnacentral:lncRNA from 10 species